rnacentral:rRNA from 1 species
AUAUCUAACUUCGGACCCUAAUCGGGUUCAGGGACAGUGCCUGAUGGGUAGUUUAACUGGGGCGGUUGCCUCCUAAAGAGUAACGGAGGCGCCCAAAGGUUCCCUCAACCUGGUUGGCAAUCAGGUGGCGAGUGUAAGUGCACAAGGGAGCUUGACUGUGAGACUGACAAGUCGAGCAGGGACGAAAGUCGGGACUAGUGAUCCGGCAGUGGCUUGUGGAAGCGCUGUCGCUCAACGGAUAAAAGGUACCUCGGGGAUAACAGGCUGAUCUUGCCCAAGAGUCCAUAUCGACGGCAUGGUUUGGCACCUCGAUGUCGGCUCGUCGCAUCCUGGGGCUGGAGUAGGUCCCAAGGGUUGGGCUGUUCGCCCAUUAAAGCGGUACGCGAGCUGGGUUUAGAACGUCGUGAGACAGUUCGGUCCCUAUCCGCUGCGCGCGCAGGAAAUUUGAGAAGAUCUAUCCCUAGUACGAGAGGACCGGGAUGGACGAACCUCUGGUGUGUCAGUUGUUCCGCCAGGAGCACCGCUGAUUAGCUACGUUCGGAACGGAUAACCGCUGAAAGCAUCUAAGCGGGAAGCCGGCUUCGAGAUGAGAUUUCCAUCCCUUCGGGGGAGAGGCUCCCAGCCAGACGACUGGGUUGAUAGGCCGGAUGUGGAAGACAGGACUAAAGACUGUCGGAGCUGACCGGUACUAAUAAGCCGAUAACUUGAUAA